rnacentral:miRNA from 2 species
UGGCCUAAUUUCCUCGGAUUU